GGAGUUGUGGCUCAGUGGUAAGGGCACUUACCUAGCAUGUGUGAGGCCCUGGGUUCAAUUCUCAGCACUGCA
rnacentral:tRNA from 1 species